UACGUAGGGGGCAAGCGUUGUCCGGAAUCAUUGGGCGUAAAGCGCGUGUAGGCGGUUCGGUAAGUCCGCUGUGAAAGUCGGGGGCUCAACCCUCGGAUGCCGGUGGAUACUGUCGAGCUUGAGUACGGAAGAGGCGAGUGGAAUUCCUGGUGUAGCGGUGAAAUGCGCAGAUAUCAGGAGGAACACCAAUUGCGAAGGCAGCUCGCUGGGACGUUACUGACGCUGAGACGCGAAAGCGUGGGGAGCGGACAGG
rnacentral:rRNA from 1 species